rnacentral:rRNA from 1 species
CGAACGUUAUUCGGAAUCACUGGGCUUAAAGGGCGCGUAGGCGGGCGACCAAGUCAGAGGUGAAAGCCCACGGCUCAACCGUGGAAGUGCCCCUGAUACUGGUUGUCUUGAGGGAGAUAGGGGCGUGCGGAACUUCCGGUGGAGCGGUGAAAUGCGUAGAUAUCGGAAGGAACACCGGUGGCGAAAGCGGCGCGCUGGAUCUCUACUGACGCUGAGGCGCGAAAGCCAGGGGAGCAAACAGG